rnacentral:rRNA from 1 species
UGGCGGACGGGUAGAGUAACGCGUGGGUAACCUGCCCGUUAUACCGGGGGGAUAACACUUAGGAAAUAGGUGCUAAUACCGCAUAAGCGCACGGUGUCGCAUGACACAGUGUGAAAAACUCCGGUGGUAUAAGAUGGACCCGCGUCUGAUUAGCCAGUUGGCAGGUAACGGCUACCAAAGCGACGAUCAGUAGCCGGCCUGAGAGGGUGAACGGCCACAUUGGGACUGAGACACGGCCCAAACUCCUACGGGAGGCAGCAGUGGGGAAUAUUGCACAAUGGGGGAAACCCUGAUGCAGCGACGCCGCGUGAGUGAAGAAGUAUUUCGGUAUGUAAAGCUCUAUCAGCAGGGAAGAAGAAAUGACGGUACCUGACUAAGAAGCCCCGGCUAACUACGUG